GGCUGGAGGAGGCUUGCGCGGGGCUGGGGCAGAGGGAGCAAGGGAGACUGUGGUAGAGAGGAGCCAGAUUGCUGUCUUCAAGAAGAAUUUUAUACUGCUGUCAUGAGAAAAUCGCUUACGGUUCCUUCAGAUGUCAAGAUUCUGUCAUUUCUGCAGAUGUGGCCCAUUGUGAUUCAGGAUCUGAGGUGAGGCCUUGAUUUUAUUGUCACUUUCUUUUCUUUUAACAAUCCAAGAGUCUACCUCCCUCUAAUUCCUUAUGCGUGUGUGUGUCACAGCGGGUAUUGUUACAUAAUUGCUUGAAUGCAGAAUGUGAGCUUUUUUAUCCUUUUGGGUUCUUGUCAAAAACAUAAUUCUGCAACAAAAGUUUUUCAGUCGGUAAAGAUUUUAUUUGACAACCUCAUAAAUGGUGGAAUAUUUGAAAUACUUAUUUAAAAUACAUAAAUAAAUGCCGAUGGAUUAAUUGACUGAUCAAGUGGCGAGAAACUGGGUCUCUUUUUCUUAGGGGCUCCAGGGACUGGAAAAAAACCUGACUGGGUAAGGGAGAAAUAGAAGAAUCUUCCAGGCUUCAGUGAGUAUAAGGUUAUCUCUUUCUCUUUUGCGGCGUUCUCUGUAUAACAGUUUUUACUUGGUUCUUUAUGAAGACGACACAUUGUGCCUCUUUUGAGAACCAUGGGGAUCAUUCCCAAAUAAUUCAAAGAAGGAUUGUUUGUUUAUUUUAACCUGUGCUAGUUAUUAAAAUUCAUUUUAUGUGUAUGAAAUCAUAUAGGUAUCAGCAUGGAAAAUAAAGCUAUUUUCUUUUACCUCAGUCAAAACCA